CCUACGGGGUGCAGCAGUGGGGGAUAUUGCACAAUGGGGGAAACCCUGAUGCAGCGACGCCGCGUGUGGGAAGACGGUCUUCUGGAUUGUAAACCACUGUCCCCAGGGACGAAAAUGACGGUACCUGGGGAGGAAGCUCCGGCUAACUACGUGCCAGCAGCCGCGGUAAUACGUAGGGAGCAAGCGUUGUCCGGAAUUACUGGGUGUAAAGGGAGCGUAGGCGGGGAUGCAAGUUGGGUGUCAAAACUACCGGCUCAACCGAUAGUCGCACUCAAAACUGCAACUCUUGAGUGAAGUAGAGGCAGGCGGAAGUCCUAGUGUAGCGGUGAAAUGCGUAGAUAUUAGGAGGAACACCAGUGGCGAAGGCGGCCUGCUGGGCUUUUACUGACGCGGAGGCUCGAAAGUGUGGGGAGCAAACAGGAUUAGAUACCCUUGUAGUC
rnacentral:rRNA from 1 species